rnacentral:lncRNA from 1 species
UAACCACUAAGAAAAUGCUGAGCCAUUCCCUUAUUCCCUGAUUUAAUAAAGGAUUUGGAGUCAAAGAAUCAAUGCAUUCAUGUGUUGACCUUCCAGGGAACUUACCUGAUUUGUCUCAGGCAUCCUUAGUGCCUUAGCCCAGGGAUCCCAAGAUACAUGAGGUCCACUCCAAACCCUUCCCAGGAAGGUCUCUAACCAUCUAUCCCCAAGGAUGCCCAGUGUCAUGCCCCACCCCCUCGCAGUACUCUCUUACUUCCCUCAGAGAUGUUCAGGCAUCAGUGAAAUUCUCAAUAACAACUCCAUUUUAGAGGUGUUUUUCCCCCAGAGGAAUUACUAUGAUGGUAGCCAUUUUGAAUGUCAGGCCAUGAGGGAGCUACUUCUGCUUACAUGGGCCUUGUGGCCAUCAUUCCUGGGGCAUGUGAGGUAGGAUGUGAAAGGGCAUGUGCUCAUAGCUUCUCUUUUUCUUAGCACAGAUGACUGAAAUAAGAAAAGGUUGAGGCAAAAAUUAGAAGAAGUCAGCAAAGUUUCUUUGGGCCAUCCAUCUCCUGUUUUGGUUCCCUUCUCCCACAGUCUUUCCCUUCCCCUUUACAGGUUCCCAGUGACUUCCUCCUUUCAUACCUCACUGGAAGCAACAUAGGAAAGGGACAGGGAAAGGAAGGACAAAAGAGAAGACAGAGCCCAGGGACACUCAGCAUGGUGCAGCCAAGGGAAGCAUGAAGUUGAGAAGAACCAGGACAAGUGACUUUUGAUUGAGUUGACGUUGAUAUUGCUCAUACAUGAAAAUGAUAUCAGAAAAAAUUACCGGAAAGCAAAUUGCAGAUUCUUCAAAACUCAAUAUGUGGGAAGAAAAGAACCAAAAAUGCAUUUUUGCUGAGUAAAAUGAAUAGAAAAGUCAUCUUGUUCUAUAAUCCCAAAGUAGACUCUAAAAUUGGUCUCCAUAUCAUUGGCACCACCCAGGUCUGUCCCAGCCACUGUCACCUGGACUCUCUGUGCCUAUUCUUUUCCCAUCUAUGGCAUUCAUUAGAGAGGCUAAAAUUUGUGUGGGAUCUUAGAGGGAAGAAUGGCAUGUAGAGAAAAGCAUCAUGAGACAGGGACUCAAAAUGCAGGCUCUAGUCUCAAAAAAAAAAAAAAAAAAAAAAUGCAGGCUCUAGUCCCCCCCUGACAGUGAUUAGUGUGAACUGGGAUAAAUCAAAUCCCCAUUCUGGGCCAUAGUCUCCUAAGCUUGGAUGAUAAUCUUUAAGAUUACUUCCAGCUUUUAUGUUUCAAGAGACAAUGCAUUCUGUGUUCAUUCCCCCCCGAUUCAAUAAUUUCUCCUAAAGUGCUCUAAAGUAAACGUACUCGUCUUAGCUUAGACACAUGAGUGACAGAGAACUCUGCCUCCCAGGGCAUUUACUCCUUGUUGGUCGAUUUGUGGUUUCAGAAUAUGCCUCUCUGUAGUUUCCUCCCAUUGAUCUUAGUCUGGACACUAGAAUAAUCCAGAACAAGAGACCCUACCUGUCCACAUGAUAGCAGUUUAAAUAUUUAAAGACAUUAUCCUGACCUCCAUUCUCAAGUUACCCUCUCCACUUCCUUUCACUCUAUGUAAAUGAUUUUCAGACACCUCAACAUCUUUCUUGCCUAUGCGGGGCUCCUCCCUAGUUUAUCAAUGCCCAUCUUAAAAUGUAGUUGCCCAAAUUAAAUUGUAUAUCCUUGUGAUCUCAGCAGAUAGCUCAAAGACUAUCUCUAGUAAUCUCAGAAACUGCUUCUCCGAAUGUUUUGGUUUUAUUAGUAGUGAAACAACAGCAUGCACUGGCUGUUGAUGUGGUGCUGAUGGUGGUGGCUGAUGUUUAAACCAGCUACAUUAUACUGUUGCUUCUCAGAGGUGGGGUUCCAGCUGAGCCUGAACUGGAUUCAAAAGUUGCAAGUACAGUAUAUGAAGGAUGGCUAUUAAUGGUGACCCACCGGCAUUGAUCAUUCUGUAGCAGGUGAUUUUCAUGGAGGAAGAAGCCUGUGGGAGGGGUCUGGUGCCAGAGUGCCUGGGGAUGGAAAUGUGAAGUAGUGAGGACACGAGAAGUCAGUCAAAAUUGUAGCCUUUAAGAUAGCUUAGAUCUGCGGAGAGUGGGGUUGGGAGUUAAAUUAGGGUAUACACAAGACUAUGUGGGCCCGGGCACAACAGCCGACAGAAACUGGAGGAGGCAGCACCCUCCCUAUUUCUGCUCAUGACCUAGUGGAGUCCCAUGGAACACCCUGCAGGCAGUAAGCAAUAGGCAAGGGGGCAGGGGCAGGAUCUGUUCCUAAUGUAGCAUGGGUGACAUUUGGAGGAUUCCAAGGAAAGCUUAUGGGCUCUCUGAAGAUGAACAUGAUCCCGUCUUUGGCACUGCCGGGGAAAACUGAGCUGGUAAGGUUCAAUUAUUACCGGUAAUGAGAGCUCAUUGGAACCAAUAAACUGAUGAUGCAAAUACUAUUUGGGGUAUAUUAAUAUUAACUAACAGUUAAUGUGACCUCUUUCAAAUUCAUGUCAAUUUAAGACAUUCAAGACUUCUCUGAAAAGUUCCCAGUAAUGUCAAAUAUGCUGGCUUGCCUACUAUACUUUGAGUAACAAGGAAUUAUAACACAUGGCCAUAGAUCUCUAAAAGAAUAGUAUUGAGCUAAACAGUGCCCUGAACUUGAACUACAGGGUUGGUUUCAUUGCUCUCUGCUUUGCUUCCAUUUUUAUAAAUCCUCAGAAACUUCCCCUUACUUGCUAAAAUUUAGACCCUGCUCACAACAUUUUUGCCAUCUUUGUGUGGUUACUGAAAAUAAAGAGAAAACCUCAUUUGUAAAGGAAAUGCCUAGGAAGCAAAGCUGUCUACUUUUGGGAAGGGAAGAAAUCUCCUUUUCUGAAGGACAUAUUAAAAUUAAUCAUAGAAACAGAUUUUGAACUUUCAUCAUAUUUGACCUGACAUUUGAUUUUCCAGAAUGACUAAUAAAUGAGAGAAGAGAGAAAAAGCGAAGUCAUUUGAAUAUGAUCCCUUCCCUUCCUUAAUCUCAAUAUAAACUAUCUAGGGUUGUGAAGAGACUUUAAAACGUAAAAUCAAAACAUGUGCUGGUGAGCUUCUAAAUCUUAUCAUUUUGGAUCCAGGGUGGUGCAGAAAUGAGAGGGGUAGAUGAGGGACUACAAAGAACAGAGGUUGUUUUCACCCUGGGUGACACACCCUGUUCUCACUCAGGUCCCAGCCCAAGAGGUUCGUUUUUCUUCUUUAAGUUUUGUCAGAGAAUAUUUUUAAAAAAUAAAACAUCUUUUUUUUUUAUUUUUCCAUAAGUUAUUGGGGUACAGGUGGUAUUUGGUUACAUGAGUUCUUUAGUGAUGAUUUGUGAGAUCCUGGUGAACCCAUCACCUGAGCAGUAUACACUGCACCAUAUUUGUAGUCUUUUAUCCCUCACCUCCCCUCCCACUCUUCCCCCGAAGUCCGUAAAGUCCACUGUAUCAUUCUUACACCUUUGCAUCCUCAUAGCUUAGCUCCCACUUAUCAGUGAGAACAUACAAUGUUUGGUUUUCCAUUCCUGAGUUACUUCCCUUUAAAUAGUAGUCUCCAAUCUCAUCCAGGUCAUUGCAAAUGCUGUUAAUACAUUCAUUUUUAUGGCUGAGUAGUAUUCCAUCGUGUGUGUGUGUGUGUGUCUGUGUGUGUGUAUACAUAUAUACAUAUAUAACAGAGUUUCUUUAUCCACUCAUUGAUUCAUGGGCAUUUGGGUUAGUUCCACGAUUUUGCAAUUGUGAAUUGUGCUGCAAUAAACAUGUGUGUACAAGUAUCUUUUUCGAAUAAUGACU